GGGGAAUAUUGCACAAUGGGCGCAAGCCUGAUGCAGCGACGCCGCGUGGGGGAUGAAGGCCUUCGGGUUGUAAACUCCUUUCGCUAGGGACGAAGCUUUUUGGUGACGGUACCUAGAUAAGAAGCACCGGCUAACUACGUGCCAGCAGCCGCGGUAAUACGUAGGGUGCGAGCGUUGUCCGGAAUUACUGGGCGUAAAGGGCUCGUAGGUGGUUUGUCGCGUCGUCUGUGAAAUUCUGGGGCUUAACUCCGGGCGUGCAGGCGAUACGGGCAUAACUUGAGUGCUGUAGGGGUAACUGGAAUUCCUGGUGUAGCGGUGAAAUGCGCAGAUAUCAGGAGGAACACCGAUGGCGAAGGCAGGUUACUGGGCAGUUACUGACGCUGAGGAGCGAAAGCAUGGGUAGCGAACAGGAUUAGAUACCCUGGUAGUCCAUGCCGUAAACGGUGGGCGCUAGGUGUGAGGGUCUUUCUACGACUUUCGUGCCGUAGCUAACGCAUUAAGCGCCCCGCCUGGGGAGUACGGCCGCAAGGCUA
rnacentral:rRNA from 1 species